AACGAACGCUGGCGGCAGGCUUAACACAUGCAAGUCGAGCGAGGUAGCAAUACCUAGCGGCGGACGGGUGAGUAACGCGUAGAGAUCUGCCCUGAAGUCUGGAAUAACACAUGGAAACGUGUGCUAAUGCCGGAUACACCCGAGAGGGGAAAGCUUUAGUGCUUCAGGAUGAGUCUGCGUCGGAUUAGCUAGUUGGUAGGGUGAGAGCCUACCAAGGCAACGAUCCGUAGCUGGUCUGAGAGGAUGGCCAGCCACACUGGGACUGAGACACGGCCCAGACUCCUACGGGAGGCAGCAAUGGGGAAUCUUGGACAAUGGGGGAAACCCUGAUCCAGCCAUGCCGCGUGAAUGAAGAAGGCCUUAGGGUUGUAAAGUUCUUUCAGUGGGGAGGAUAAUGACCGUACCCACAGAAGAAGCUCCGGCUAACUCCGUGCCAGCCGCCGCGGUAA
rnacentral:rRNA from 1 species